rnacentral:rRNA from 1 species
UACGUAGGGUGCAAGCGUUGUCCGGAAUUAUUGGGCGUAAAGAGCUCGUAGGCGGUUUGUCGCGUCUGCUGUGAAAACUCAGGGCUUAACCCUGAGCUUGCAGUGGAUACGGGCAGGCUAGAGUUCGGUAGGGGAGACUGGAAUUCCUGGUGUAGCGGUGAAAUGCGCAGAUAUCAGGAGGAACACCGAUGGCGAAGGCAGGUCUCUGGGCCGAUACUGACGCUGAGGAGCGAAAGCGUGGGGAGCGAACAGG